rnacentral:tRNA from 1 species
GGAGGGGUGGCAGAGCGGUUGAAUGCACCGGUCUUGAAAACCGGCAUGGGCCUUCGGUCCAUCGGGGGUUCGAAUCCCUCCCCCUCCG